rnacentral:tRNA from 2 species
GCGGCCGUAGCUCAGUUGGUAGAGCCCCGGAUUGUGAUUCCGGUUGUCGCGGGUUCAAGCCCCGUCGGUCGCCCCA